AGGGGGAGCGGGCCGGCCGCGCCGAGGGGCGGGGUGCCACGUGUCGCUCCGCUCGCGCCGCGCCGCGCCGCGCCGCGCCGCCCCGGCUCCGCAGCCGGGCAGCGCCUGGGGUCUGCGGCGGGGGGCGGGCUGGCAGCUGCUGUGCGCAGGAGCGGCCCCGCGGUCGCGGAGAAGAGCGUGGGAAUGCUGGAGCGUCGUCGUACGGUGCCUCGCAUCUCAUGCUGAAGGAAGGAAAAGGCUGAAAAGCCACGUGCGGAGCUGUGGCUGUACUUGCAGCCGGCCCGGGCGGUACUGACGCCCCCCGGUGCGGGCCCGGGAUGUGCUGAGCUUGUAAGACAAAACUCCACGCAGCCUGUGCUGUGCAGUCGGGUUGCUCCUCAGAUGGGGAAAGCGGAAAGGUUCUGAGUCUGUGCUGUCGGUAUGGAUGGGAACUCAAGUCCUGCUUGUAGCCAGCUGUGUGGUCUUGAAGGUAUCCAGCAGCCAGUGGUAGCUGCAGGUCAUCAGGGAGUGCUGUCAGUGCUGAAAGAGAAAAAAGGCCACGUGGACUUCAUACCCUGAAAUACAGCAGAGCAAUCCCCUAUCUCAUGACCAUCAAGCCAAGAGGAGCAAUUUACAGACUUUGUAGAAAGAGAUCAGCUACAGCACAAACUCCACAGGACCCCAUGUGACUUAAUUCCAAGUGCUAAACUGGAGAUAUUGUACCUGAAAAAAGCAAUUAAAAUUUCUAGUCCUUUCAUUUUCUGCCACUGAUCUUUGUGCUGAGGUUGUCAACAGGAUGUUUCAUGCUAAGAACUGGACUGCAACCAGCAGCUUAUUCCACUUGAGUUAAAACCUCCUUACUGUCUGCAUAUGUAUAAAUGGAGGUGUUAUAGCAUCGUGACAACUAGGACCAACAUCAAUUGAAUUUAAUAGGUGGUACAAGACAGAAAUCAAAGAGAUAUUUGUACUGUUUCAUGAUACAUACUACUGAAGCAAUCACUGCCAAGCAAAGAUAGGAAGUACAACAAAUUAACUGGUUCAUCAUCCCAGCUACAUGCCUUCUUGAACAGAAGUGAAUACCUGCACAGUACUGCACUGGUAACUUGAGUGCAAUAUUAAUUUUCAUUCAACCAGGGAUGUAAGAAGGGCUUGCAACGGAAAUUUGGGGAUUAACA
rnacentral:lncRNA from 1 species